UACGGGGGGGAGCAAACGUUGUUCGGAAUCACUGGGCGUAAAGAGCGUGUAGGCGGCCAAGCAGGUCCGUUGUGAAAACUGGAGGCUUAACCUCCAGACGUCGACGGAAACCGCGUGGCUAGAGUCCGGAAGAGGAGAGUGGAAUUCCUGGUGUAGCGGUGAAAUGCGCAGAUAUCAGGAAGAACACCAAUGGCGAAGGCAGCUCUCUGGACGGUACUGACGCUGAGACGCGAAAGCGUGGGAGCAAACAGG
rnacentral:rRNA from 1 species